UACGUAGGGUGCGAGCGUUAAUCGGAAUUACUGGGCGUAAAGCGUGCGCAGGCGGUUUUGUAAGUCAGAUGUGAAAUCCCCGGGCUUAACCUGGGAAUGGCAUUUGGGACUGCAAGGCUUGAGUGCGGCAGAGGAGACUGGAAUUCCUGGUGUAGCGGUGAAAUGCGUAGAUAUCAGGAGGAACACCGGUGGCGAAGGCGGGUCUCUGGGCAGUAACUGACGCUGAGGAGCGAAAGCGUGGGGAGCGAACAGG
rnacentral:rRNA from 1 species